CUGGUAGGUCUGAUGCAACCCCACUGGCUUUGACAUUGAGGGAGAUGACCCUGGAGAGGAAGGAGAGAAGCUCAAGAAGGCUCAAGCCUGGACAGAGGAGGUGGCGAAUGUGGCCUGUUUUACACUUUGAAGCCUCAAGGCACAGGAUCCACCAAGGAGAAUAGUUGAUUCUUCUCCCCCAUCCUAUAAGAUCAAGAAUGUAACCACACCUGAACUGACUCUUUCACUGUCAAAGAGAACUAAUUACAAGAAUAUGGUUUCUUAGAGGCAGAAAGAAGACAAAGACAUGAUGACAUCUACCACAAAAGAAGAAAGGAAGCUGAAUGGAUGUGCAUUGGGAUGAAGCAUAAUGAAAAAUUAGGAGCUUAUCUAAAGC